rnacentral:rRNA from 1 species
GACGAACGCUGGCGGCGUGCCUAAUACAUGCAAGUAGAACGCUGAAGUCUGGUGCUUGCACUAGACGGAUGAGUUGCGAACGGGUGAGUAACGCGUAGGUAACCUACCUUAUAGCGGGGGAUAACUAUUGGAAACGAUAGCUAAUACCGCAUAACAGCUGUUAACACAUGUUAAUAUGCUUGAAAGGGACAACUGUCCCACUAUAAGAUGGACCUGCGUUGUAUUAGCUAGUUGGUGAGGUAACGGCUCACCAAGGCGACGAUACAUAGCCGACCUGAGAGGGUGAUCGGCCACACUGGGACUGAGACACGGCCCAGACUCCUACGGGAGGCAGCAGUAGGGAAUCUUCGGCAAUGGGGGGAACCCUGACCGAGCAACGCCGCGUGAGUGAAGAAGGUUUUCGGAUCGUAAAGCUCUGUUGUAAGAGAAGAAUGUUGGUGAGAGUGGAAAGUUCACCAUGUGACGGUAUCUUACCAGAAAGGGACGGCU